AAACCCAAUUAGUUGAAUGGAUACACCGAGGUGGUUUGAUCCCGCAACACAAGCACCUCAAGCGAGCACUCAACCGACUGAGCUAAAUCCCGCCCCUGACCAAAACAUGACUUCAUUUGAACUUGAGGAGGAGAGGCAACGUGCGAGGCCAGCAGCCAUGGAGAAUUAGAGUCGGAAUCCGAAAAACAUGAUGAACAAGAUUGAUAUGUAGUUUGAUAAUAAAUGUUACAACUGUA